rnacentral:rRNA from 1 species
AUUGAACGCUGGCGGCAGGCUUAACACACGCAAGUCGAGCGGGGGGAGGUAGCUUGCUACCUAACCUAGCGGCGGACGGGUGAGUAAUGCUUAGGAAUCUGCCUAUUAGUGGGGGACAACAUUUCGAAAGGGAUGCUAAUACCGCAUACGCCCUAAGGGGGAAAGCAGGGGAUCUUUGGACCUUGCGCUAAUAGAUGAGCCUAAGUCGGAUUAGCUAGUUGGUGGGGUAAAGGCCUACCAAGGCGACGAUCAGUAGCGGGUCUGAGAGGAUGAUCCGCCACACUGGGACUGAGACACGGCCCAGACUCCUACGGGAGGCAGCAGUGGGGAAUAUUGGGCAAUGGGGGGAACCCUGAUCCAGCCAUGCCGCGUGUGUGAAGAAGGCCUUUUGGUUGUAAAGCACUUUAAGCGAGGAGGAGGCUACCGAGAUUAAUACUCUUGGAUAGUGGACGUUACUCGCAGAAUAAGCACCGGCUAACUCUGUGCCAGCCGCCGCCGUAAUAC